rnacentral:rRNA from 1 species
UAGGGAAUCUUCGGCAAUGGACGAAAGUCUGACCGAGCAACGCCGCGUGAGUGAAGAAGGUUUUCGGAUCGUAAAACUCUGUUGGUAGAGAAGAACGUUGGUGAGAGUGGAAAGCUCAUCAAGUGACGGUAACUACCCAGAAAGGGACGGCUAACUAUGUGCC